UACGAGGGGGGCGAGCGUUGUUCGGAUUUACUGGGCGUAAAGGGCGCGUAGGCGGCCAGCACAAGUCAGUUGUGAAAUCUCCGAGCUUAACUCGGAACGGUCAACUGAUACUGUGCGGCUAGAGUGCGGAAGGGGCAACUGGAAUUCUUGGUGUAGCGGUGAAAUGCGUAGAUAUCAAGAGGAACACCUGCGGCGAAGGCGGGUUGCUGGGCCGACACUGACGCUGAGGCGCGAAAGCCAGGGGAGCGAACGGG
rnacentral:rRNA from 1 species